rnacentral:rRNA from 1 species
CCCUCAGAAUGGUUGGAAAUCAUUCAUAGAGUGUAAAGGCAUAAGGGAGCUUGACUGCGAGACCUACAAGUCGAGCAGGGUCGAAAGACGGACUUAGUGAUCCGGUGGUUCCGCAUGGAAGGGCCAUCGCUCAACGGAUAAAAGCUACCCCGGGGAUAACAGGCUUAUCUCCCCCAAGAGUUCACAUCGACGGGGAGGUUUGGCACCUCGAUGUCGGCUCAUCGCAUCCUGGGGCUGUAGUCGGUCCCAAGGGUUGGGCUGUUCGCCCAUUAAAGCGGUACGCGAGCUGGGUUCAGAACGUCGUGAGACAGUUCGGUCCCUAUCCGUCGUGGGCGUAGGAAAUUUGAGAGGAGCUGUCCUUAGUACGAGAGGACCGGGAUGGACAUACCUCUGGUGUACCAGUUGUCGUGCCAACGGCAUAGCUGGGUAGCUAUGUAUGGACGGGAUAAGUGCUGAAAGCAUCUAAGCAUGAAGCCCCCCUCAAGAUGAGAUUUCCCAACUUCGGUUAUAAGAUCCCUCGAAGAUGACGAGGUUAAUAGGUUCGA